rnacentral:rRNA from 1 species
GCAUGGCACCCUGAUCCUGCCAUGCCGCGUGAGUGAAGAAGGCCUUCGGGUUGUAAAGCUCUUUUGGUCGGGAAGAAAGUGCUCUGCCUAAUACGUGGGGUAUUUGACGGUACCGGCAGAAUAAGCACCGGCUAACUACGUGCCAGCAGCCGCGGUAAUACGUAGGGUGCGAGCGUUAAUCGGAAUUACUGGGCGUAAAGCGUGCGCAGGCGGUUCGUUAAGUCUGAUGUGAAAGCCCCGGGCUCAACCUGGGAAUGGCAUUGGAAACUGGCGGGCUGGAGUUUGGCAGAGGGA